GACGAACGCUGGCGGCGUGCUUAACACAUGCAAGUCGAACGGAAAGGCCCCCUUGUGGGGUACUCGAGUGGCGAACGGGUGAGUAACACGUGAGUAACCUACCCUUGACUUUGGGAUAACUUCAGGAAACUGGGGCUAAUACCGGAUAGGAGCUCCUGCUGCAUGGUGGGGGUUGGAAAGUUUCGGCGGUUGGGGAUGGACUCGCGGCUUAUCAGCUUGUUGGUGGGGUAGUGGCUCACCAAGGCUUUGACGGGUAGCCGGCCUGAGAGGGUGACCGGCCACAUUGGGACUGAGAUACGGCCCAGACUCCUACGGGAGGCAGCAGUGGGGAAUAUUGCACAAUGGGCGGAAGCCUGAUGCAGCAACGCCGCGUGCGGGAUGACGGCCUUCGGGGUGUAAACCGCUUUCGCCUGUGACGAAGCGUGAGUGACGGUAAUGGGUAAAGAAGCACCGGCUAACUACGUG
rnacentral:rRNA from 1 species